rnacentral:ribozyme from 1 species
AAAAAAAAAAAAAAUUGAAACGAGUCGACGCAGAUAUAAACAAACAAAAAAUAGUUCGAUAGAUAAAAAUUCCCGACGGAAUUGGGAUUUCUUUUUCUUUUUUUUCAAGUUUAAUUUUCUUUGAAUAGAGCUGUUAUCUUGCUCUUUCCUUUUUUCUU